CAGCCGCCGCGGUAAUACGAAGGGUGCAAGCGUUACUCGGAAUUACUGGGCGUAAAGCGUGCGUAGGUGGUGGUUUAAGUCCGUUGUGAAAGCCCUGGGCUCAACCUGGGAAUUGCAGUGGAUACUGGGUCACUAGAGUGUGGUAGAGGAUAGUGGAAUUUCCGGUGUAGCAGUGAAAUGCGUAGAGAUCGGAAGGAACAUCUGUGGCGAAGGCGGCCAUCUGGGACAACACUGACGCUGAGGCACGAAAGCGUGGGGAGCAAACAGGAUUAGAUACCCCAGUAGUCCCUGUCUCUUAUAC
rnacentral:rRNA from 1 species